rnacentral:rRNA from 1 species
AGUGAACGCUGGCGGCAGGCCUAAUACAUGCAAGUCGAACGGCAGCACAGUGGAGCUUGCUCCAUGGGUGGCGAGUGGCGGACGGGGUGAGGAAUACAUGGGAAUCUGCCCAGUCGUGGGGGAUAACGUAUGGAAACGUACGCUAAUACCGCAUGCGCCCUUCGGGGAAAGUCGGGGACCGCAAGGCCUGACGCGAUUGGAUGAGCCAUGUUCGAUUAGCUAGUUGGCGGGUAACGGCCCACCAAGGCGACGAUCGAUAGCUGGUCUGAGAGGAUGAUCAGCCACACUGGAACUGAGACACGGUCCAGACUCCUACGGGAGGCAGCAGUAGGGAAUAUUGGACAAUGGGCGCAAGCCUGAU